rnacentral:rRNA from 1 species
UACGGGGGGAGCAAACGUUGUUCGGAAUCACUGGGCGUAAAGGGCGUGUAGGCGGCUGAAUGAGUGGGAUGUUAAAUCCCCCGGCUCAACCGGGGAACUGCAUCUCAUACUGUUCAGCUUGGGUACAGCAGAGGAGACUGGAAUUCCCGGUGUAGCGGUGAAAUGCGUAGAUAUCAGGAGGAACACCUGUGGCGAAGGCGGCCACCUGGUUGGAUACUGACGCUGAGACGCGAAAGCGUGGGGAGCAAACAGG